rnacentral:lncRNA from 1 species
UCGUUUGUUUCCCUUUUUUUUUUCCAACUUCAUCGUGGCUUGCUUCACACCCAAAAAAGAAGAGAGAACCCUUUCAAGUCUAAUUACCACCUAAUACAGGUUGAUUAAGACAAAGCGCCGUGGUAAAACAGUCCUAUCGGUUCCCACAAUUUUCAACAAGGUAGUUGAUAAAAUAAAUGGUCUCGGAAUUAAAGUUUUCUUUCAUUUUCACCCAUCUUUGUUUAAAAAUGUUUCGAAGGACAAUAAUUGUUUGGAUACCUCAAUUAUCCCAAAUAAAAUUUCGCUUGCAUCAUAGACACAUUUUCCAACCUACCUUUUUAUAUUUCCAACCACCUUUUUAUCUCACAUACAUCACAUCACAAAAAAUGCUACAGUAAUUAUUCCAAAUAAUAUUUCAAAUAAUACACUAUCCAAACACUCCCAAUAUUAUUUCUACGUUUCUUUUCCUUUUGCCUUGCGUCUUUAGAAAGUGCGAGAUUCAUGCACUAAUAUUUCAUUUAGACACAAGUACUAUAACAACAGUACUCUAUACCAAUAAUAGUUUACAUAAUACUACUACGUUGAUCCAGUGUGGUCCUUUUCUCUCUCUCUCUCUCUUUUUUUUUUUUUUUUUUUUUUUUAGCAAAGGGCGAUGACGAUUGAAUGAUUGAAGUUUCGUUUAAGGCUUACCAAAGAUUAUUGAUUGUGUGGAUAGUUAAAUAGACCCAACCACUUUUGUGUGCACGCUCGUACUUAUACGUAU